CUAGCGACUUCAGAGUUUGAUCCUGGCUCAGGAUGAACGCUGGCGGCGUGCCUAACACAUGCAAGUCGAGCGGGAUCUUUUUAAAUGACGCUUCGGUUGAUUUAAAAAGUGAGAGCGGCGGACGGGUGAGUAACGCGUAGGCAACCUGCCCUUUGCAGAGGGAUAGCCAUUGGAAACGAUGAUUAAAACCUCAUAAUGCCAUUUUAAGACAUCUUAAGAUGGCCAAAGAUUUAUCGGCAAAGGAUGGGCCUGCGUCUGAUUAGCUAGUUGGUGAGGUAACGGCUCACCAAGGCGACGAUCAGUAGCCGACCUGAGAGGGUGAUCGGCCACAUUGGAACUGAGACACGGUCCAA
rnacentral:rRNA from 1 species